CAGCAGCCGCGGGAAUACGAAGGGGGCUAGCGUUGUUCGGAAUUACUGGGCGUAAAGCGCACGUAGGCGGAUUUUUAAGUCAGGGGUGAAAUCCCGAGGCUCAACCUCGGAACUGCCUUUGAUACUGGAGAUCUUGAGUUCGGAAGAGGUUGGUGGAACAGCUAGUGUAGAGGUGAAAUUCGUAGAUAUUAGCUAGAACACCAGUGGCGAAGGCGGCCAUCUGGGACAACACUGACGCUGAGGCACGAAAGCGUGGGGAGCAAACAGGAUUAGAUACCCCAGUAGUCCCUGUCUCUUAUAC
rnacentral:rRNA from 1 species